rnacentral:rRNA from 1 species
CGGCAAAAGCUCAGAUUUGAAAUCAGGUGCGUUUACGCCCCCGAGUUGUAAUCUGGAGAGGAUGCUCCGGCGAGUCCGGCUGCCCAAGUUCCUUGGAACAGGACGUCUUAGAGGGUGAGAACCCCGUACCCGGCAGCUCGGAUUAGCCAUGUGGAGCUCCCUCGAC